rnacentral:tRNA from 1 species
AAAAUUUUAAGUUAAUAAAACUCCAGUCCUUCAAAGUCUACAAUAAAGGUCUUAUUCCUUUAAAUUUUA